rnacentral:rRNA from 1 species
AAAACUCUAAGCGGUGGAUCACUCGGCUCAUGGGUCGAUGAAGAACGCAGCAAACUGUGCGUCAUCGUGUGAACUGCAGGACACAUGAACAUCGACAUUUUGAACGCAUAUCGCAGUCCAUGCUGUUAUGUACUUUAAUUAAUUUUAUAGUGCUGCUUGGACUACAUAUGGUUGAGGGUUGUAAGACUAUGCUAAUUAAGUUGCUUAUAAAUUUUUAUAAGCAUAUGGUAUAUUAUUGGAUAAAUAUAAUAAUUUUUAUUCAUAAUAUUAAAAAAUAAAUGAAAAACAUUAUCUCACAUUUGAAUGUGAAAAACGAAGAGAAAUAUUUUCUUUUUCAAUCAAAUAAUACUGAGAAAUGUCUAGCAUAAAAAAUUGAAAUAUUUUUCAUCUAGAAUUGUCUCUUAUUAAUGAUUCGGAAAUAGAAAAAUCUUGGUUAUGUUAUUAUUCUUCGUUGGUUCGUUAAAAAUGGAUAAAUAAAAACUUUGCAUACAAGAAUUAAUAAAAAUGUUAUAACGAAUUUAAUUAAAUGUUUUAUCAUUAUAUAUAAAGAAUUUAUGGCAAGAUAAAGUUAUAUACAACCUCAACUCAUAUGGGACUACCCCCUGAAUUUAAGCAUAUUAAUUAGGGGAGGAAAAGAAACUAACAAGGAUUUUCUUAGUAGCGGCGAGCGAAAAGAAAACAGUUCAGCACUAAGUCACUUUGUCUAUAUGGCAAAUGUGAGAUGCAGUGUAUGGAGCGUCAAUAUUCUAGUAUGAGAAAUUAACGAUUUAAGUCCUUCUUAAAUGAGGCCAUUUACCCAUAGAGGGUGCCAGGCCCGUAUAACGUUAAUGAUUACUAGAUGAUGUUUCCAAAGAGUCGUGUUGCUUGAUAGUGCAGCACUAAGUGGGUGGUAAACUCCAUCUAAAACUAAAUAUAACCAUGAGACCGAUAGUAAACAAGUACCGUGAGGGAAAGUUGAAAAGAACUCUGAAUAGAGAGUUAAACAGUACGUGAAACUGCUUAGAGGUUAAGCCCGAUGAACCUGAAUAUCCGUUAUGGAAAAUUCAUCAUUAAAAUUGUAAUAUUUAAAUAAUAUUAUGAGAAUAGUGUGCAUUUUUUCCAUAUAAGGACAUUGUAAUCUAUUAGCAUAUACCAAAUUUAUCAUAAAAUAUAACUUAUAGUUUAUUCCAAUUAAAUUGCUUGCAUUUUAACACAGAAUAAAUGUUAUUAAUUUGAUAAAGUGCUGAUAGAUUUAUAUGAUUACAGUGCGUUAAUUUUUCGGAAUUAUAUAAUGGCAUAAUUAUCAUUGAUUUUUGUGUUUAUUAUAUGCACUUGUAUGAUUAACAAUGCGAAAGAUUCAGGAUACCUUCGGGACCCGUCUUGAAACACGGACCAAGGAGUCUAACAUAUGUGCAAGUUAUUGGGAUAUAAACCUAAUAGCGUAAUUAACUUGACUAAUAAUGGGAUUAGUUUUUUAGCUAUUUAUAGCUAAUUAACACAAUCCCGGGGCGUUCUAUAUAGUUAUGUAUAAUGUAUAUUUAUAUUAUUUAUGCCUCUAACUGGAACGUACCUUGAGCAUAUAUGCUGUGACCCGAAAGAUGGUGAACUAUACUUGAUCAGGUUGAAGUCAGGGGAAACCCUGAUGGAAGACCGAAACAGUUCUGACGUGCAAAUCGAUUGUCAGAAUUGAGUAUAGGGGCGAAAGACCAAUCGAACCAUCUAGUAGCUGGUUCCUUCCGAAGUUUCCCUCAGGAUAGCUGGUGCAUUUUAAUAUUAUAUAAAAUAAUCUUAUCUGGUAAAGCGAAUGAUUAGAGGCCUUAGGGUCGAAACGAUCUUAACCUAUUCUCAAACUUUAAAUGGGUAAGAACCUUAACUUUCUUGAUAUGAAGUUCAAGGUUAUGAUAUAAUGUGCCCAGUGGGCCACUUUUGGUAAGCAGAACUGGCGCUGUGGGAUGAACCAAACGUAAUGUUACGGUGCCCAAAUUAACAACUCAUGCAGAUACCAUGAAAGGCGUUGGUUGCUUAAAACAGCAGGACGGUGAUCAUGGAAGUCGAAAUCCGCUAAGGAGUGUGUAACAACUCACCUGCCGAAGCAACUAGCCCUUAAAAUGGAUGGCGCUUAAGUUGUAUACCUAUACAUUACCGCUAAAGUAGAUGAUUUAUAUUACUUGUGAUAUAAAUUUUGAAACUUUAGUGAGUAGGAAGGUACAAUGGUAUGCGUAGAAGUGUUUGGCGUAAGCCUGCAUGGAGCUGCCAUUGGUACAGAUCUUGGUGGUAGUAGCAAAUAAUCGAAUGAGACCUUGGAGGACUGAAGUGGAGAAGGGUUUCGUGUGAACAGUGGUUGAUCACGAGUUAGUCGGUCCUAAGUUCAAGGCGAAAGCCGAAAAUUUUCAAGUAAAACAAAAAUGCCUAACUAUAUAAACAAAGCGAAUUAUAAUACACUUGAAUAAUUUUGAACGAAAGGGAAUACGGUUCCAAUUCCGUAACCUGUUGAGUAUCCGUUUGUUAUUAAAUAUGGGCCUCGUGCUCAUCCUGGCAACAGGAACGACCAUAAAGAAGCCGUCGAGAGAUAUCGGAAGAGUUUUCUUUUCUGUUUUAUAGCCGUACUACCAUGGAAGUCUUUCGCAGAGAGAUAUGGUAGAUGGGCUAGAAGAGCAUGACAUAUACUGUUGUGUCGAUAUUUUCUCCUCGGACCUUGAAAAUUUAUGGUGGGGACACGCAAACUUCUCAACAGGCCGUACCAAUAUCCGCAGCUGGUCUCCAAGGUGAAGAGUCUCUAGUCGAUAGAAUAAUGUAGGUAAGGGAAGUCGGCAAAUUAGAUCCGUAACUUCGGGAUAAGGAUUGGCUCUGAAGAUUGAGAUAGUCGGGCUUGAUUGGGAAACAAUAACAUGGUUUAUGUGCUCGUUCUGGGUAAAUAGAGUUUCUAGCAUUUAUGUUAGUUACUUGUUCCCCGGAUAGUUUAGUUACGUAGCCAAUUGUGGAACUUUCUUGCUAAAAUUUUUAAGAAUACUAUUUGGGUUAAACCAAUUAGUUCUUAUUAAUUAUAACGAUUAUCAAUUAACAAUCAAUUCAGAACUGGCACGGACUUGGGGAAUCCGACUGUCUAAUUAAAACAAAGCAUUGUGAUGGCCCUAGCGGGUGUUGACACAAUGUGAUUUCUGCCCAGUGCUCUGAAUGUCAAAUGAAGAAAUUCAAGUAAGCGCGGUCAACGGCGGGAGUAACUAUGACUCUCUAAGGGAAGGAGUUGGCUCACAGCAAAUGGAUGUAAACACAUAAACAAGCAACUAGCGGUGUAUUUUGCAAACCGCAGCGUCGAAGCCAUCAAAAAGCUAAGACAGAGGGGCGAUUAUAAGGAGAAAAUAGAGCAGAUAAGAGGGCAAUCAGCUCUCGCCCCGGAAGUUGCUAAUCUAACCAUAAGGCGCCGCCCUAGUAGAAGUGAGCAAGACCACAAGUAACAACAUCGGAAACAACUCCAAUCACUCCCUUCGAACAGUCGAACAGGGAAAUUUUGCGGACACUACGCGGGUAUAGCCCGUAGAAUGCCAUUCCAAAUGGAGAGCCCAAGAGUUGCAAACUAUCAUUGAUAGGGCACAUCUCGAGGGAAAGGAAACCACUCUCCAAUGCUUAUCGCUAUAUCUCCUGGGAAUUUUUCCGGCACAGGGUGUACGACACACACUGACGAGACCUCCUCGGAGACCUCGGAACAGGAGAGAAAGCAGAAGGCAGCAGUACGCUGUCGUCCAGCGUAACUGGGAUAAGCAUAAAGGAAGAUGCAUCAAGUCCUUGCUAAAUGGAACUGAUGAGUCGGUAAUGCCAAGCCAAGAAAUAAUGGUUCCCUACUGGAGAGAAGUAAUGACUCAGCCUAGCCCAAGCUCUUGCAGUGGAGAAGUGAUACAAAUGGAUCACUCGCUUGAGAGGGUAUGGUCUGCUAUUACAGAGCAGGACCUUCGGGCGUCAAGAGUCUCAUUAUCCUCGUCUCCGGGGCCUGACGGGAUAACU